UACGGGGGGCAAGGCGUUGUUCGGAAUUACUUGGGCGUAAAGGGCUCGUAGGCGGCCAACUAAGUCGGAUGUGAAAUCCCCAGGCUCAACUUGGGGAACUGCCAUCCGAUACUGGAUGGCUUGAAGUUCGGGAGAGGGAUGCAGAAGUUCCAGGUGAUAGGCGGUGAAAUGACGUAGAUAUCUGGAGGAAUACCGGUGGCGAAG
rnacentral:rRNA from 1 species